rnacentral:tRNA from 1 species
CGGGGCGUAGUAUACCGGUAGUACGCUUGCUUUGGGAGCAAGAAGACCGAGUCCAAUUCUCGGCGCCCCGA